rnacentral:lncRNA from 1 species
CUUGAAUGUUGGUGCACGAGGCUGUCGAGUUGGCUCAGAUGGAAAAAAAAUGCUACAAUGUUCCACUCAAAAAGAGAGACUAACAAAUGGAAUGAAGGGUCACCAGUGGAAAUUUUCAAAGGAGAUGACGACAUGCCACCUGGAGAAGUUGUGUCAAACCUGAAUGAGAUUACUGGAAGAGACCACAGCAGAGUAACAUGGCUCAUGACACGGGGUGUAAAUUGAAACAGA